UACGUAGGGGGCAAGCGUUGUCCGGAAUCAUUGGGCGUAAAGAGCGUGUAGGCGGCCAGAAAAGUCCGCUGUGAAAACUCGAGGCUCAACUUCGAGCUGGCGGUGGAAACUUUCUGGCUAGAGUCCGGAAGAGGAGAAUGGAAUUCCUGGUGUAGCGGUGAAAUGCGCAGAUAUCAGGAAGAACACCCGUGGCGAAGGCGGUUCUCUGGGACGGUACUGACGCUGAGACGCGAAAGCGUGGGGAGCGAACAGG
rnacentral:rRNA from 1 species